AGUGAACGCUGGCGGCAGGCCUAACACAUGCAAGUCGAGCGGCAGCGCGUCCGACCACCCUCGGGUGGUCGGAUGGCGGCGAGCGGCGGACGGGUGAGGAAUGCAUCGGAAUCUGCCUCGUUGUGGGGGAUAACGUAGGGAAACUUACGCUAAUACCGCAUACGACCUACGGGUGAAAGUGGGGGACCUUCGGGCCUCACGCGAUGAGAUGAGCCGAUGCCGGAUUAGCUAGUUGGCGGGGUAAAGGCCUACCAAGGCUACGAUCUGUAGCGGGUCUGAGAGGAUGAUCCGCCACACUGGAACUGAGACACGGUCCAGACUCCUACGGGAGGCAGCAGUGGGGAAUUUUGGACAAUGGGGGCAACCCUGAUCCAGCCAUGCCGCGUGAGUGAAGAAGGCCUGGUGUAAGCUCUUCGUCCGGAGAAUACGCACAGUAAGUACCUGUGUGGAUGACGGUACCGGAAGUAAGAAGC
rnacentral:rRNA from 1 species